rnacentral:rRNA from 1 species
AGUGAACGCUGGCGGUAGGCCUAACACAUGCAAGUCGAACGGCAGCACAAUAAGAGCUUGCUCUUACGGGUGGCGAGUGGCGGACGGGUGAGGAAUACAUCGGAAUCUACUUUUUCGUGGGGGAUAACGUAGGGAAACUUACGCUAAUACUGCAUACGACCUACGGGUGAAAGCAGGGGAUCUUCGGACCUUGCGCGAUUGAAUGAGCCGAUGUCGGAUUAGCUAGUUGGCGGGGUAAAGGCCCACCAAGGCGACGAUCCGUAGCUGGUCUGAGAGGAUGAUCAGCCACACUGGAACUGAGACACGGUCCAGACUCCUACGGGAGGCAGCAGUGGGGAAUAUUGGACAAUGGGCGCAAGCCUGAUCCAGCCAUACCGCGUGGGUGAAGAAGGCCUUCGGGUUGUAAAGCCCUUUUGUUGGGAAAGAAAAGCAGCAGGUUAAUACCCCGCUGUUCUGACGGUACCCAAAGAAUAAGCACCGGCUAACUUCGUG